rnacentral:pre_miRNA from 1 species
AGGAGGAACAACCGCAGUGGCGGGGCCAGCUCUGCAGCCCUGGAUUCAGCCCCCGCAGUAACUCUGGAGCUCUCUGUCUGCAGGGCCUGGAGGCUCCGGGGCGGG